rnacentral:rRNA from 1 species
GAUGAACGCUGGCGGCGUGCCUAAUACAUGCAAGUCGAGCGAACGGACGAGAAGCUUGCUUCUCUGAUGUUAGCGGCGGACGGGUGAGUAACACGUGGAUAACCUACCUAUAAGACUGGGAUAACUUCGGGAAACCGGAGCUAAUACCGGAUAAUAUUUUGAACCGCAUGGUUCAAAAGUGAAAGACGGUCUUGCUGUCACUUAUAGAUGGAUCCGCGCUGCAUUAGCUAGUUGGUAAGGUAACGGCUUACCAAGGCAACGAUGCAUAGCCGACCUGAGAGGGUGAUCGGCCACACGGGAACUGAGGCACGGUCCAGACUCCUACGGGAGGCAGCAGUAGGGAAUCUUCCGCAAUGGGCGAAAGCCUGACGGAGCAACGCCGCGUGAGUGAUGAAGGUCUUCGGAUCGUAAAACUCUGUUAUUAGGGAAGAACAUAUGUGUAAGUAACUGUGCACAUCUUGACGGUACCUAAUCAGAAGGCCACGGCUAACUACGU